rnacentral:rRNA from 1 species
UACGUAGGCGGAAUAUUAAGUCAGUGGUGAAAUCCUGCAGCUUAACUGUAGAAUUGCCAUUGAUACUGAUCUUCUUGAAUUUAGUUGAGGUGGGCGGAAUGUGUAAUGUAGCGAUGAAAUGCUUAGAUAUUACACAGAACACCGAUUGCGAAGGCAGCUCACUAAACUAACAUUGACGCUAAGGUACGAAAGCGUGGGGAGCGAACAGGAUUAGAUACCCUGGUAGUC